rnacentral:tRNA from 1 species
UGCGGGAUCGUCUAAUGGUAGGACAAUUGCCUUUGGAGCAAUUUAUCUAGGUUCGAAUCCUAGUCCCGCAG